ACCCCAGUGGCCUAAUGGCUAAGGCACUGGCUUCCUAAACCAGGGGCUGUGGGUUCGAGUCCCACCUGGGGUA